rnacentral:lncRNA from 1 species
CCUGAUCUCAGAAGCACGAUAAUACGAUUGAUGACUAUUCUCACCAUGAAGAGAAGGUAUUCCACCGGCAGUUGCUGACUUUAAACUCACUUUCAAUACCAUCUUAUUGUUCCUUCUGAAAUGAUACCAGGUGACUCCACUUUCAGCAGAAACAACACGAUUCCCAUUGGGUGAGUACCCACUAGAGAGGAAUCGUGCUUCUUAUUAUUCCAAGUACCAUAACCAGCUGCUAUGGCUUCCAUGCGAUGUGCCAGCCGAUUCCUCACAAACCUCAGAAGUUUAGGACCAUCAAUCUCAAACUUUAUGAGCAUAGCUGGAUUCUGACUAGUCGAACACACAGCUUUAAGAGCAGCUUUCUGAGGACCAUUGCAAUAAGACCAGCAUGUAUUGGGAAAAUUUUCAGGUCCUCAAAGUGAUUAUUCAUUGCGUAUGACGAGCAUGUUCUUGAUCCAGCACCUAAUGGGGAUCGUGUAUUAUUUGCUGAUUAUCGUGGAAUCACUUGGGAUCAGUUUAGAUACAGCCAGCAAUUGGCCUUUGAUAUUGAUCAUAAUACAUUGUCAGGAGGUAUGCCAACUCUUCCUGGUGAGCGGGGCAGGGAUCCUUUUUAUCUAGCUGCUGAGAUAACUAAGAAGGCAAGUCGAUCUUUAAUCAUGCUUUUAAGGAAGAUUGAACUAGAAGGCAAUUGUGUUGAAAUUCUUGAUCAUACCAAAGUCUGUGUCUAUGAGAACGGAUAGGUAAGGCUGUCACGCGCCCGUAUUCUGACAAAUCAAGAUUUAAGUGAUGCAGAAAUUGAGAAUCAUCUAAGACUUAAUUAUAGGGCAGCGGUGGAUAUGAUUUUUAUGUUGUUUGAUGUUAAUGGCAAUGGGCAGUAUUGGCUACCACCAGAUAUGGAUCACCUACUUGGAUUGAUGUGGAAUAAUUUUGGGGAUCGGGGAAUUUAUGCCAUACAUGCUGCUCUUGUACUCAUGGUUUUGUAUCCCCACUUGUUUAAGGAACUGCACAAUUUGAUUUCAGAUAAGAUUAGGGAUUCGGAAUACCAUGACAUCUGUGUUGCACUAGUUGCUAAUGCUCUUGAUUGGAGACGUGAAGUUCAUAAUAAUGACCUCCUUUGUGAAACAUAUUUUUUUAGACAAGGUUUGGAUUAUGUUGUUCCAUACAACUACCCAAAUCAACUUCAUAUCAGACGUGAUCAACUUUCAGCAGAAAAAACACGGUUCUCGAAAGAAAUCGUGCUUUUUCUUAUUCCAUGUACCAUAACCAGCUGUUAUGGCUUCCAUGCGAUGUACCAGCCGAUUCCUCAGAAACCUCAGAAGUUUGUUACAAUCAAUCACAUCAAUCUCAAAGUUUGUGAGCAUAGCUAGAUUCUGACCAGUCGAACACGCAGCUUUGAGAGCAGCUUUCUGAGGACCAUUGCAAUAAGACCAGCAUGUACUGGGAAAAUUUUCAGGUCCUCAAAGUGAUUAUUCAUCAGAUAGAGAAGGUGAUUAAUAUCUGAUGGUAGACAAAGUCACCCACUAACCAUAAACAAUUCCGAAAUCAAGUCCGCUGCUGCCCUGGUAAUUGAGUCGUACACGGACCUUAACAGCUGCAUCAUCCAGAUCCUGCCUUGCUAGAAUCCAUACGUGCCUCAGGUUUACCUUCCCUGAGGGAUACACGCAAACGUUGCAUUCAGAAAGAACAUCAACACAACCUCCUUCCAACUCAACCUUUCUUAACUUCUUGAUCAAAGAUCUUGAAGCAUUCUUCCUGAUCUCAGAAGCACGAUAAUACGAUUGAUGACUAUUCUCACCAUGAAGAGAAGGUAUUCCACCGGCAGUUGCUGACUUUAAACUCACUUUCAAUACCAUCUUAUUGUUCCUUCUGAAAUGAUAUACCAGGUGACUCCACUUUCAGCAGAAACAACACGAUUCCCAUUGGGUGAGUACCCACUAGAGAGGAAUCGUGCUUCUUAUUAUUCCAAGU